rnacentral:lncRNA from 1 species
AUACUUUAGAACUGUAAGUGUAAGCGGUGUAGGCUACACGUUGUGGUACAUUUUCUUAUUUUAGGUGAUGUGCCAUUUAUGUGCAUUUUGUAUGUGUUAUUAUCUACUUUUCUCGGUCGGAUUAUGAUACCUACUGAGUACAAAUGGACCGUACUCACGCUUAUUGAGCCCUUUCAGUGUAGGUCUUAGUUCGAGAGUUUGG